GAAUAGCGAAAAUUUAAUGAGGGCUGGGGGGGCCCAACGGUAGAUGCGGCAGAGUGGGCAAGGAGUGUUGUAACACGUGGAAGUCAAAGAGCAGCGGGGUCCGUAAAACUUGGCAGGGCAGCAGUGGUAACUGGUAAGUGGAUGGAUGUGUGGGCGUACGUUCGUACCAGCGAGUAGUUGGCAAAGCUAACAUCUACUUCACCAUCGGCCAUCGGCCAUCAGCCACCAGCAGCAGCAGCAGCAGCAGCAGCAGGAGGAUGAUGAUGACAAGAACACUUUUUUCUCAUUCUCAUCUCAAAUUCAAUAAGUGAGGGGAGGCUGAGGCCCAGGCACAGGCCGCGGCCGCGGGAGGGAGUAACCAAUGACCAUGCCACCUGCCACCACUGCACUCGCAACGCGCACAACCACCAUCAACACUCAAGAGAGUAAACAGAAGGAAAAUGGCCACCCGUGAAAGACAACUGCUGAGGGGAAAAUCGUGUUUUGUUGAUCUCCUGAUCAGAAAAGCAAUCCAUAUCGUAACCAAAUAGAUUUCUUCAUCUUCAGAAUGUCUUUAUAUUUGCUCCAGUUCUUCCGAUUCCUUUUUCUUCAUUGGGUUUUCAACAUUUGAAGAAUUAAUAAAUUUCUUCUCUGAGAAUCAGGAACUUCCAGGUCACAUUGGUCAUUGGCCAUGAGUUACAAAAGAUCGUGUGAUGCUAUUCUUUUGAUUGCUUUGUGUUGAAAUUUUUUGUUUUAGUACAUAAAUUGUCUCUUGGUAAAACCUCUUGAAUAUUCGUUUUAUGAUCCUUAAGUGGAUAUUAAACUGAAUAUCUUCAGCAAUAUAUUUUUUUGUUACAAUGGCAAUCUAAAUGGUUUUCCUAUUUUCUAGGUGGUUAAAGGUUUGUCCAAGACGAGGAUUCUCAAAUAUUACAUUCUAAGCACCUGCUUGAAAUAAUGAAUGUUCAAGAAAUGGACUAUGGAGAGGAUAGUCUGCCUCUUAUUGAAGUAUUUCUUAAAAUUCCAGUCCAACUAAUGCACUUUUUGGACAACGUUGUAUAGAUCAAAUAAAGGAAGAACGAAAUAAGGAGGCUACUUUUCUUAUUUCAGCCUUCAAGGUGAAGAAGUGGAUAAAGAAUCUAAACUGACACCUUAUGGUGAAAAAAUUAGUCGAGGUAUGUGGUGAUGGAAAUAUCACAAUUAGCCUGGCACUAUUGUCUUUGAGCUACUGGAAGAUGAUCAAUGUGGUUCUUUACAAACUAAAAUUGAAGGAUAUAGCAGUCCAGAUGCCAAGUCAAACCCUUUACAAGACCCUCGAACUAGCUUUGGAUUCGGAACGCAAGUCAUGGUUUUCUUUUGAAUUGAUGUAGUUCAGAAUUUGAGUUAAAUAGGAAAAGUGAGAAAUUUGAUGAACUGCUUGAGUUGGCUGGCUACUAUAAGACUUUUCUCAUGAAUUCUUAUCAAGAAGCAAGGAUAAAAACAUGGCAAUAGGAGAUUAUUCAAAUAAGCUCUGGGAAGAGGAAGACAAAUAAACUCUUGAACGAUAUUCGGCAUUGUAAAGAGAUUGAGAAAUGCAAGCUUGAAUCAUAGUUAGUAAACACUGGUAUCCAAUUAUGCAUACAACUUGUAAUAAUUUAUAGAAGUUUUUUUUUAACUGUAUUCUUUAUUAAUAUACUUGGCCUUGACUCAACAUA